UACGGGGGGGGCAAGCGUUGUUCGGAAUUACUGGGCGUAAAGGGCGCGUAGGCGGUUCGCUAAGUCGGAUGUGAAAACUCUGGGCUCAACCCAGAGCCUGCAUCCGAAACUGGCGGGCUAGAGUUCUGGAGGGGGUAGCGGAAUUCCUGGUGUAGCGGUGAAAUGCGUAGAUAUCAGGAGGAACACCGAUGGCGAAGGCAAUCCCCUGGGCCUGCACUGACGCUCAUGCACGAAAGCGUGGGGAGCAAACAGG
rnacentral:rRNA from 1 species